rnacentral:rRNA from 1 species
UUAUAUGUGUCAUACGAGACUGCCGGUAAAAGACCGGAGGAAGGUGAGGAUGAUGUCAAGUCAGCAUGACCUUAUAUCCAGGGCUACACACACGCUACAAUGGUCUGUACAAUGGGUAGCCAAGCCGCGAGGCGGAGCCAAUCCUGAAAGCAGGCCUCAGUUCAGAUUGCAGUCUGCAACUCGACUGCAUGAAGCCGGAGUUGCUAGUAACCGCAGGUCAGCAAUACUGCGGUGAAUACGUUCCCGGGUCUU